rnacentral:tRNA from 2 species
GGGCAAUUAGCUCAGUUGGAUAGAGCGAUGGCCUCCGGAGCCAUAGGCCGCGCGUUCGAAUCGCGCAUUGCCCA